CAGAGAGAGAAAAUCUGGAAGAAGAAGAAGAGAGGAAAGGCAAAGAAAAAUAAAAUAAAAUAAAACUGCAGACAUAUAGAGAGACAUGGACAUAUAGAGAGAGCGAUAAACGAAAGUGAAACUCGUAAGAGAGAAACUUUCGCCAUCAGAAGUUGCUGAUAAAAAAACUCAAACAGAGUGAGAGAAGUCUUCUAUCGCUUUCGCGGAUGAUAUUUUGUUCCUUUUCUGAUCGGAAAUGUCGGCGGCGGGGAAAGUAGACGCGGCUGAGGGUGGCGGUGCCGAAGGAGAAGGAGAUUAAUCAUCAUGAAGAAAGGAAAGGGGAAGAACAACGGCUUGUUGCCGAAUUCGUUGAGGAUUAUCUCUCUAUGCCUCAAAACUGUGUCAACGAAUGCCACCACCGUUGCUUCCACCGUGCGCUCCGCCGGCGCCUCCCUCGCAGCUUCUAUUUCCUCGUCUUCGGAGGAUCACAAAGAUCAGGUAACCUGGGCUGGUUUUGAUACACUGGAGCUUGAUUCAUCUAACCUCAAACGUGUUCUUUUACUUGGUUAUCUGAAUGGAUUUCAAGUUCUUGAUGUUGAGGAUGCCUCUGGCUUCAGUGAACUGGUCUCAAAGCGCGAUGGUCCAGUUUCUUUUUUACAGAUGCAGCCCUUGCCUGUAGGUUGUGAUGGUCAGGAGGGAUUCAGAAAGUCACACCCUUUACUGUUGGUUGUUUGUGGGGAUGACACUAGCAAGGUAAACCACAAAAGUACCAGUUUGAGUGGUGUAGGAAGGGAUGGUAAUGUUGAAACCCAAACGAGGAACAAUGUCAAUUCUUCAACCGUUGUUCAGUUUUACUCCUUGAAGUCUCACUCUUAUGUUCAUGUUCUGAGGUUCCGUUCAACUGUGUGUAUGAUCAGAUGCAGUUCAAGGAUAGUAGCGGUUGGUCUUGCAACACAAAUACACUGCUUUGAUGCUUCGACUCUUGAGAAUAAGUUAAGUGUUCUCACUUAUCCUGUUACUCAGUUAGCUGGACAAGGAACAACUGGUGUUAAUGUUGGUUAUGGUCCAAUGGCUCUGGGUCGAAGGUGGUUGGCAUAUGCUUCUAACAGCCCCCUGCCCUCUAAUUUAGGUUGCUUAAGCCCACAAAACUUCAGUGCUUCUCCCGGAAUUAGUCCAUCAACUUCUCCAAGGAGUGGUAGUUUAGUGGCUCGGUAUGCAAUGGAGUCUAGUAGACAUUUAGCUGCCGGAAUAAUCAAAUACUGUCAAGAGCUGCUUCCUGAUGGUUCCUCUUCUCCCGUGUCAUCAAAUUCAGGUGUGAAAGUCGAUAGGGUUACAGGAAUUGAUGCAGAUAAUGCGGGAAUGGUAGUUGUCCAGGAUUUUGUUUCUAGAAGUAUCAUAUCACAAUUCAAAGCUCACACUAGUCCUAUAUCUGCACUAUGUUUUGACCCUAGUGGGACCCUUCUGGUCACUGCAUCAGUAUAUGGGAAUAACAUUAAUAUAUUUCGGAUAAUGCCAUCAUUCACAUGCAAGAGUUCAGCCACUCCAAGCUCCAACUGGAACUCUUCUCAUGUGCAUCUUUAUAAACUUCAUCGCGGAAUAACACCAGCUAUGAUUCAGGACAUUUGUUUCAGUAAUUUUAGUCAGUGGAUUGCAAUUGUCUCAUCCAAGGGUACUUGUCAUCUUUUUGUUUUGUCACCCUUUGGGGGUGAUACUGGCUUCCAAAUUAUUAGUUGUCAGGGUGAAGAACCGUCCCUACUCCCUGUUGUUUCUCUGCCUUGGUGGUAUACUCCGGCUUCCAUUCCUUACCAGCAAUCUUUGCCUCCUCCAGCACCUGCUGUUCUUUCUGUGGCUAGCCGGAUAAAAUAUAGUAGUUUUGGAUGGCUUAAUACUGUUCACAACUCUUCUACAAAUGUGACUGAAAAAGUUUUUGUGCCAUCUGGUGCCAUUGCUGCCAUCUUUCACAAUUCCUUGUCUCACUCGCAACAGCCUGUUAACUCAAAGGCAAAACCCUUAGAACAUAUAUUGGUAUAUACACCUUCAGGUCAUGUAGUUCAACAUGAACUUCUGCCAUCUGUUGGUUUAGGAACAACUGAUAGUGGUUUGAGAAACCAGUCAACUUCAGUCUUGCAUAUGCAGGAGGAUGAGUUCAGAGUCAAAGUUGAACCUAUUCAAUGGUGGGAUGUAUGUAGAAGGUCAGAAUGGCCAGAAAGAGGGGAUUCUUGCUGCAGUACCUUUGAUAGACAAGGAGGUAUUGAGGGAGUUCAAGAGAAAAUAAGUUAUAGUGACUUCCAUGGAUUGGAUUUUGUGGGCUCAAGAGAUGAGGCAGGGGAAAAGAUGAUAAAAUCGUCCAGUGAGAAUAUGCAAGACAGGUUCCAUUGGUAUCUGUCUAAUGCGGAGGUGCAAGGGAACUUUGGAAGGUUACCCAUAUGGCAAAAGUCUAAGAUUUGUUUCUAUUCAAUGAGUUGUGCAGGAGCUAGUUUCAGUGGUACUGGGGAGUUUGAAAUUGAAAAGGUCCCUGCUAAUGAAGUUGAAAUAAGGCGGAAGGAGCUGCUUCCUGUUUUUGACCAUUUUCAUAGCAUCAGAUCAAGCUGGAAUGAGAGAGGUCUUGCUGGGGACAGAUAUUUAAGCUCUACAUCUCCUGUUCUCGAUCAAGCUGAUGACAAGGAAACUGCUGAUGUGACAGUUAUUUGUCAUUCAAAGCCAGCAUCACUGAGUUCCACUGAAAGCUCAGAAGGAGGUUCAUCAAGAAGAAUUGAAAAUCUGCUUGACUUGGAUCAAGUUGCUUCUAGUUAUCAAAUACUUGGUGAGAUAUGCCUGGAAAGAAUGGGGACAAUCAAUGUUGAGCCUUGUCUACAAAACCAGAUUGUGAUGAGUCCAUCAUGUCUGUCUGGAAACUUGAAACAUGUUGAUUUCAACGCUGACCACAUUGCCAGUCCUAUAUUCCAAGGGAGAAAUAUAACUUCUGAAGGAAGAGAUUCUAUAGGUGUUGAGAUCAGUGAGAACUCAGCAUUGGUUCUAGAACAUGCUUCACACGAGACUGAAUUUGUGGAAGUAGCCUUGGCAAAGCAAAAUGAAGGUGUUGGGAUAUCUUUCAAGGAUACCCACUGCAAAACACAGGAGCAUGAUGGGAGUGACGUGUUAACUGAAGUUGUAACUGAUGAUGUUGACAGCAGCUGUAGCUACCAUGAAAGAGAGCAACUAGAGGAGCAUGGGGAGAACGAUGAAAUGCUUGGUGGCAUAUUUUCCUUUUCCGAAGAAGAUGGAAGUUCAUGGGCUCGCUAACUUUGGGCCCUAUAGUGUGAAAAGUUCUGGGUAAAGGUAGUUUGAGCUUGCAUUCACAGUUGUAAGCGGGUCAUUUACCAAUGUCUAUAAAUACGAAUCAGGCAUGGAAUUCCCUUCAAUUGCAGACGGUGUAGUAUGAUAACUUAGUAUGAUGAUUGAUUAUGUGAACGAGUGGAAAGGACUGUCUCUCUAAACUCUGCUUCAGUUCCUUUUAUUGGAAGAAAGAAUGGAAUGUGCGAUUAUUAUUAUAGGAUAAGAGAAUGGACAGCAUGGUUGUGAGGGUCAAGGUACAUAAGGAUAAACAGCCACAUUAGCUUCUCUAGAUAUAUUUAUCAUUUGAUGAAUUUGACAUCUCAUCCAUCAAAACAGUCAAACUCCGGUGAGAAUUGAAGAUGUUGGAUGCCAAGAAACUGCUUCUCCGUUAUGGUUUAAAAGCUUAGUAAAUUUAUAUAAAUAUUAUGAGUUCAAUUCUUAUGCACUAUUGUUUAAUUAGAAAUUAUAGUAUAAUUUUUAAAGUAAUUAUUGCAAAACUUAAUAAAUUUACCAUGUUAAUUUGUAAUUCAAUGAUAAUUAAAA